rnacentral:rRNA from 1 species
AUUGAACGCUGGCGGCAGGCCUAACACAUGCAGUUCGAGGGGUGAAAGGAGGCUGCUUCCUGAUUUAGUGGCGGACGGGGGAGGUAUGCCUAAGGACUUGGCUGGUGGUUGGGGAAAAGGGUCGGAAACGGGGGCCAAUAGCGAAUACGUCCUGAGGGAGAAAGGGGGGGGAUUUUGGACCUCACGCCUCUAGCUGAGGCUAGGUCGGAUUAGCUAGUUGGUGGGGUAAAGGCCUACCAAGGCGACGAUCCGUAACUGGUCUGAGAGGAUGAUCAGUCACACUGGAACUGAGACACGGUCCAGACUCCUACGGGAGGCAGCAGUGGGGAAUAUUGGACAAUGGGCGAAAGCCUGAUCCAGCCAUGCCGCGUGUGUGAAGAAGGUCUUCGGAUUGUAAAGCACUUUAAGUUGGGAGGAAGGGCAGUAAGUUAAUACCUUGCUGUUUUGACGUUACCAACAGAAUAAGCACCGGCUAACUUCGUG